UGGGGAAUUUUGCACAAUGGGGGAAACCCUGAUGCAGCGACGCCGCGUGAUUUAGAAGGCCUUCGGGUUGUAAAAAUCUUUUCUAUGGGAAGAAAAUGACAGUACCAUAGGAAUAAGGACCGGCUAAUUCCGUCCCAGCAGCCGCGGUAAAACGUAAGGUCCGAGCGUUUUCCGGAAUCAUUGGGCGUAAAGGGUACGUAGGCGGGUAAGCAAGUUAGAAGUGAAAUCCUAUAGCUCAACUAUAGUAAGCUUUUAAAACUGCCCAUCUUGAGGUAUGGAAAGGAGAGUGGAAUUCCUAGUGUAGCGGUGAAAUGCGCAGAUAUUAGAAGGAAUACCGGUGGCGAAGACGACUUUCUGGCCAUAACCUGACGCUGAGGUACGAGAGCGUGGGUAGCAAAAAGG
rnacentral:rRNA from 1 species